rnacentral:rRNA from 1 species
UGGCGGCGUGCCUAAUACAUGCGAGUCGAACGAACUCUGGUAUUGAUUGGUGCUUGCAUCAUGAUUUACAUUUGAGUGAGUGGCGAACUGGUGAGUAACACGUGGGAAACCUGCCCAGAAGCGGGGGAUAACACCUGGAAACAGAUGCUAAUACCGCAUAACAACUUGGACCGCAUGGUCCGAGCUUGAAAGAUGGCUUCGGCUAUCACUUUUGGAUGGUCCCGCGGCGUAUUAGCUAGAUGGUGGGGUAACGGCUCACCAUGGCAAUGAUACGUAGCCGACCUGAGAGGGUAAUCGGCCACAUUGGGACUGAGACACGGCCCAAACUCCUACGGGAGGCAGCAGUAGGGAAUCUUCCACAAUGGACGAAAGUCUGAUGGAGCAACGCCGCGUGAGUGAAGAAGGGUUUCGGCUCGUAAAACUCUGUUGUUAAAGAAGAACAUAUCUGAGAGUAACUGUUCAGGUAUUGACGGUAUUUAACCAGAAAGCCACGGCUAACUACGUGCCAGCAGCCGCGGUAAUACGUAGGUGGCAAGCGUUGUCCGGAUUUAUUGGGCGUAAAGCGAGCGCAGGCGGUUUUUUAAGUCUGAUGUGAAAGCCUUCGGCUCAACCGAAGAAGUGCAUCGGAAACUGGGAAACUUGAGUGCAGAAGAGGACAGUGGAACUCCAUGUGUAGCGGUGAAAUGCGUAGAUAUAUGGAAGAACACCAGUGGCGAAGGCGGCUGUCUGGUCUGUAACUGACGCUGAGGCUCGAAAGUAUGGGUAGCAAACAGGAUUAGAUACCCUGGUAGUCCAUACCGUAAACGAUGAAUGCUAAGUGUUGGAGGGUUUCCGCCCUUCAGUGCUGCAGCUAACGCAUUAAGCAUUCCGCCUGGGGAGUACGGCCGCAAGGCUGAAACUCAAAGGAAUUGACGGGGGCCCGCACAAGCGGUGGAGCAUGUGGUUUAAUUCGAAGCUACGCGAAGAACCUUACCAGGUCUUGACAUACUAUGCAAAUCUAAGAGAUUAGACGUUCCCUUCGGGGACAUGGAUACAGGUGGUGCAUGGUUGUCGUCAGCUCGUGUCGUGAGAUGUUGGGUUAAGUCCCGCAACGAGCGCAACCCUUAUUAUCAGUUGCCAGCAUUAAGUUGGGCACUCUGGUGAGACUGCCGGUGACAAACCGGAGGAAGGUGGGGAUGACGUCAAAUCAUCAUGCCCCUUAUGACCUGGGCUACACACGUGCUACAAUGGAUGGUACAACGAGUUGCGAACUCGCGAGAGUAAGCUAAUCUCUUAAAGCCAUUCUCAGUUCGGAUUGUAGGCUGCAACUCGCCUACAUGAAGUCGGAAUCGCUAGUAAUCGCGGAUCAGCAUGCCGCGGUGAAUACGUUCCCGGGCCUUGUACACACCGCCCGUCACACCAUGAGAGUUUGUAACACCCAAAGUCGGUGGGGUAACCUUUUAGGAACCAGCCGCCUAAGGUGGGACAGAUGAUU